rnacentral:tRNA from 5 species
AGCCCGCUUAGCUCAGAGGUUAGAGCAUCGCAUUUGUAA